rnacentral:rRNA from 1 species
UACCAGCACCCCGAGUGGUCGGGACGUUUAUUGGGCCUAAAGCAUCCGUAGCCGGUUCUACAAGUCUUCCGUUAAAUCCAGCUGCUUAACAGAUGGGCUGCGGAAGAUACUAUGGAGCUAGGAGGCGGGAGAGGCAAGCGGUACUCGAUGGGUAGGGGUAAAAUCCGUUGAUCCAUUGAGGACCACCAGUGGCGAAGGCGGCUUGCCAGAACGCGCUCGACGGUGAGGGAUGAAAGCUGGGGGGAGCAAACAGG